rnacentral:lncRNA from 1 species
UUCGAGAAACUAUUCCAGCAUAAAAGAUGCUGCCUAGAUAUAUGACCUCACGAUGAAGACAUGUCCACAAAGCGUGCAAACAAGUUAGUAAUUGAGUAUUCUUUAUUACAACGGUUUUUUUUGGAUUCAAGUAAUAAGGUGGAGUUCAUGCUCUUGCAUAUUUUUGCUAUUACUGAAGAACUCCUCAAAGACUCUAGCUAAGUCCACUUUGAUCCCCAUCCUAACACUCCCUAAAGAACUCUAGGAUGUACCAUGCAUGGGAAUCUACAAGAUUCCUACCAAGAUUUGCUAAAUGGGCCAGACCAAAUAAAGUACGUCAACUAAAGAGGGCACUUUAUGGAAUCAAGCCCUUAGAGCACAGUUCGGCAUAUUUGCAAGGGUAUUGAUAGGCUUGGGACAUAAAUAGACUCAGGUAGAUCACACUUUAUUUAUCAAGCAUUUAGAGACAUGAGGAAUUACAACUCUUCUAAUAUAUGUCGAUGACAUUAUUGUAGUAGACGAUGACAAAAAUUAAAAAUUAAUACUUAAGCAAUGUCUAGCAAGAGAAU